AGCGAACGCUGGCGGCAGGCUUAACACAUGCAAGUCGAACGGGCACUUCGGUGCUAGUGGCAGACGGGUGAGUAACGCGUGGGAACGUGCCUUUCGGUUCGGAAUAAUCCAGGGAAACUUGGACUAAUACCGGAUACGCCCUUCGGGGGAAAGAUUUAUCGCCGAAAGAUCGGCCCGCGUCUGAUUAGCUAGUUGGUGAGGUAAAGGCUCACCAAGGCGACGAUCAGUAGCUGGUCUGAGAGGAUGAUCAGCCACAUUGGGACUGAGACACGGCCCAAACUCCUACGGGAGGCAGCAGUGGGGAAUAUUGGACAAUGGGCGCAAGCCUGAUCCAGCCAUGCCGCGUGAGUGAUGAAGGCCUUAGGGUUGUAAAGCUCUUUUGUCCGGGAAGAUAAUGACUGUACCGGAAGAAUAAGCCCCGGCUAACUUCGUGCCAGCAGCCGCUGUAAGAC
rnacentral:rRNA from 1 species